rnacentral:rRNA from 1 species
CGGACGGGUGAGUAACGCGUAGGAAUCUACCCAGUAGUGGGGGACAACAUGGUGAAAACCAUGCUAAUACCGCAUACGCCCUAUGGGGGAAAGCGGGGGGACCUUCGGGCCUCGCGCUAUUGGAUGAGCCUGCGUCGGAUUAGCUUGUUGGUGAGGUAAAGGCUCACCAAGGCGACGAUCCGUAGCUGGUCUGAGAGGAUGAUCAGCCACACUGGAACUGAGACACGGUCCAG